GAUGAACGCUGGCGGCGUGCGUAACACAUGCAAGUUGAACGACGGUGCCAUGAAGUGGUAACACGGAGUGGUAUACGGAGUAGCGGACGGGUGAGUAAAGCAUGAGAAUCUGUCCUGUCGAGGGGGAUAACGUUCGGAAACGGACCCUAAUACCCCAUAGUCCGAGAGGUUAAAGGCAGCGAUGCGCGGCAGGAGGAGCUCGUGUCCUAUCAGCUGGUUGGUGAGGUAACGGCUCACCAAGGCUUCGACGGGUAGCCGGCCUGAGAGGGUGACCGGCCACACUGGAACUGAGAAACGGUCCAGACUCCUACGGGAGGCAGCAGUGGGGAAUAUUGGGCAAUGGGAGGAAUCCUGACCCAGCGACGCCGCGUGAACGAAGACGGCCUUCGGGUUGUAAAGUUCUUUUAUGUGGGAAGAAUGAAGUGACGGUAC
rnacentral:rRNA from 1 species